AGAUGGCUUUGGCUUGGAGAUGCUGUUACACCGUAAAGUCACAUCACUUCCUUCCAUCACUUCUUCUUUCCCAAUGACGGUCACAGUCACAUUUUUAGGAGAAUCUGUCGGAUGAGAUGGAAGGGAUGCAGAUAUGUCACCGUGCACUGAACAUCACUCCCAUCAUCCACAUUUGAAGGGAUAAAUGGUCUAUCCUCAGGGUACAGCCCUUCUCUCCUGGGACCACUGAGGUUCUGUUUCUGUAUUCCUCCAGUACUGAUGAUGGAUACUUGGUGUUCAGGAUCUCUGGAUAACGUAUUCUAUCAUAUAAAUACCAUACAGUGCUGGACGGUUCUGAGAUCCUUUUAGGAUGAUAUGUACAAGGAAUCUCCACACAGGAGCCGAUCAGAGCAGUGACUUCAUCAGGGAACGUCCACCGCUGACCUACAGAACCCAGAUAGAAACCUGGAGACAAUGACAGGACAUGAGGUCGGGGGUCACAAUGUUUCUUUCUAUCUGGUUACAUUUGCAGAGUUUCUGUUACCUUGAAAGACGAUGAGAAGAAACAUCUGAUUUAUUCCAGACAUUCUCUACUGCUUGUUGGUGACAUCCACAUCUAUUCAUGGACUCAUCUCCUGCCAGAUCUGAGGAACAAAUAUGUCACAAUACAGGAGAAAACCUCACAUAUAACAAUGGUUACAAUUACUAUAAGCUUUGUUAUAUACAGUACAUACAGCAUCUAUUAUCAGAGCCACCAGGGGAAUUAUUCCAGUUCUGUACAUUCUCUACACCAGGUAUUAAGGACCCUACCUUAGUCUAUGACAUAAUCUUCUUUCUACAGUGAUCCCUGAACCCUACAAGGGCCUCAGGUUACACAAUUUUUGGUCUUUUCUGGACCAUUAUAACUGUAAACCAGAUACAACAUACAAUGUGCAGACAGUCCAGAUCUGUGAUACCUGUCAAUGGCCGGAAGAACCGACCAAUCAGAAUGGGCAUUCAGUGGUAAAACCCCUGUAUUACUGAAGUGUAUGCACUGACUGGUGUCUGGUAGGGCCCCCCUACAGUACAGGGAGGUAUUACAUGUUCUGUACUCUUUACCUGUACCAGGGUUAGCUGCUCCUUUGGACAUCAGGUGGUGGCGGCUCCAUGUAACUUUUUUUUAGGACAUUUCGUGUACUGUACAGGACCCUGAAGAAGCUCCUGUCCUCUACAUAGACAGUGAUUACAGCUCCCAGCAGAUCUUUCUUACUUUUAUAAAUAAGGAUUGCUUUAUCUAUAUUAGUUUUAUACUCACUUUUAUUCAUACCUAUUUUUGGAUGACAUUUUGUGGCCUCAGGACCAAUUACCAGGUUUCCGUAGAGUUAUGGCCUCAGGAUAUAAGAUCAGAAUGGUAUCAACGUACAAUGGUCAUCCUGGACCUAAACAAUAUUCUAACUUGAGGGACCACUAGUUUAGUAGCUUGUUUUGAGACUUUCUUGCUCCCCAUCAGAGUCCUGUUAAUCGCCAUGGUUGGCCACAACCAGUCAGCGGUGCAAUUUUCAGUGAUAUCGCCCUCCAGAGUUUGUCUGAACUUACAGGGGUGUUCCCUAUCUGUGUGCUGCAGCCCAGGGAAUGCAAUGGUGAUUUGUAGUGGGAUCUAGUUGGCUAUUGAGUUUUAUAGAGACAAUGUAUAGAAAGAAGGGAGGCACUCGCUAUUCAGCUGAUUCGUUCCUUGGAUCAAUUUCUUUAUCUUUGGUCACACAAUAACAGGAUAGAAGGAACGCUGGACAAAUGGAAACAGGUGUGAUUACAGCCGUUUCACGCCUUUCCGGGCCCUUCUUCUGACCAUCAGUGUGUAAUGGCACUGAAAGAUGUCAAGGCCUUUUAUGACAAGGUUCUGACAGAUGGCAUCAGAAGAUGCUUCAUACAAAGGACAUAGAAGAGCGGGGACUAAGGGAAUCCCUGUCUUGUGCUAUUACAAAUGACGAAGGGAGAGAAAAGCAAAUUGUACACUCGAAUAUGGGCUUGGGAUCAUGAGCACAGUGCCAUAAUACAAGUUUCAUCUAGGCAUCUGUCAUCCCCUUAUGAUGUCCCACCGCGGCCCCUCAAUGCAAGUCUAUGGGAGGGGGAGUGACGGCUAUCACGCCCCCUCCCAUAGACUUACAUUGAGGGGGUGGGACGUGACUGUGUUAGGGGGCGGGGCUAUGACGUCACAAGCUCCCACACCUGCUCCAGCUUUUGGAACAGUUUGUAUCAAAUGCUGAGCAGAGGAGUACCCCUUUAAGGAAGCCCAAGUCCACCCAAAGAAAGGCCUUCUCCUCAUCAAGGGAGAGCAAUAAAAGUAGGAUGUUAUGUGCAUGAGAAGACACUUAAAGGGGUAUUCCAGGCAAAAACAUCUUAUCCCCUAUCCUUAAACAUGAAUGGAGGGGUCGUGUCAUUACGUCACAUCUCCAGUCCUGGAAACCCGGAGCUUUCCAAAACUACAGACGCAGCCCUGCAUUGAAUGCGGGUGCUGCAGGCAGAUCGCGGGGGGUCUCAGCAGUGGCCCACCCGCGAUUAGACAUCUUAUCCCCUAUCCUUUUGAUAGGGGAUGAGAUGUUUUUGCCCGGAAUACCCCUUUAAGCCCACCUGAUCAGGAUGGACCAAGGAUGCCAUCAGGGUAGCUAGUCUACUAGUUAACAAUUUAGCGAAGAACUUCACAUCUGAGUUAACCAGUGAUAUUGGGCGAUAUCUAGAGCAUAGAGUCGUAUCCUUCCCUGCCUUUGGGACCACUGUAAUUAAAGCCCAUAGGAAGGACUGCGGGAGGGAGGCUGCGUCAGAGGCAUUGUAAAAUGCAGAUAAGAGAGGAGCGGACGGUCCCACAUAAAGAGUCUUAUAGAAUUUGGCCUUGUACCUAUCAGGUCCUGGACUUUUGUCUGCAGGCAUAAAUGCAAUCGCCAAUUCCGACUUUCCUGAAGAUAUUUGUAGAAAAAGGGGAAAAAAAGCAACAAGGGGUGCGCCUCUAGUGAGGACCAUUUCAAGGUGGACUAAAGCAGAAACAAAGAGGGGUCCUUACCCUUAGGUGUUGCCCUCAGAGCACAACACCUAUGGUGGCGUCUGGGAAGAAAGGUAGCCGGACCGCUGCCAUGAGGAGCUUCCCGGAGUGACGUCAUUCUACUCGGUGGAGACACAAUGUGGAAAUAUAAAAGCGUUC